GCAUAUUCUAGGAGUAGUAGAAAGUGAUUCUAUUUCAGAGAGUCGAUGGUUGGUGUGAAUCGACAUAGAUAGCUUUUGAACUUGCCUAGAUUUUGUGUUGUAGAGGUUGGUUACCUUUAAAAAACCAUAAAAGAGAGCAUUAUUAUGCUAAAUAGGGUGGUACCGCGGGAAAUUUCUCGUCCCUAUA
rnacentral:ncRNA from 1 species